rnacentral:rRNA from 1 species
GACGAACGCUGGCGGCGCGCCUAACACAUGCAAGUCGAACGAGAGAUGAGGAGCUUGCUCUUCAAAUCGAGUGGCGAACGGGUGAGUAACGCGUGAGGAACCUGCCUCAAAGAGGGGGACAACAGUUGGAAACGACUGCUAAUACCGCAUAAGCGCACAGUACCGCAUGGUACAGAGCGAAAAACUCCGGUGGUAUAGGAUGGACCCGCGUCUGAUUAGUUAGUUGGCGGUGUAACGGACCACCAAGACGACGAUCAGUAGCCGGCUUGAGAGAGUGAACGGCCACAUUGGGACUGAGACACGGCCCCAAACUCCUACGGGAGGCAGCAGUGGGGAAUAUUGCACAAUGGGGGAAACCCUGAUGCAGCAACGCCGCGUGAGUGAAGAGUAUUUCGGUAUGUAAAGCUCUAUCAGCAGGGAAGAAAAUGACGGUACCUGACUAAGAAGCCCCGGCUAACUACGUG